AUUGAACGCUGGCGGCAGGCCUAACACAUGCAAGUCGAGCGAGCGGCGGACGGGUGAGUAAUGUCUGGGAAACUGCCCGAUGGAGGGGGAUAACUACUGGAAACGGUAGCUAAUACCGCAUACUAUCAGAUGUGCCCAGAUGGGAUUAGCUGGUAGGUGGGGUAACGGCUCACCUAGGCGACGAUCCCUAGCUGGUCUGAGAGGAUGACCAGCCACACUGGAACUGAGACACGGUCCAGACUCCUACGGGAGGCAGCAGUGGGGAAUAUUGCACAAUGGGCGCAAGCCUGAUGCAGCCAUGCCGCGUGUAUGAAGAAGGCCUUAGGGUUGUAAAGUACUUUCAGCGGGGAGGCGUUACCGGCAGAAGAAGCACCGGCUAACUCCGUGCCAGCAGCCGCGGUAAUAC
rnacentral:rRNA from 1 species